rnacentral:rRNA from 1 species
AGUGAACGCUGGCGGUAGGCCUAACACAUGCAAGUCGAACGGCAGCACAGUAAGAGCUUGCUCUUACGGGUGGCGAGUGGUGGACGGGUGAGGAAUACAUCGGAAUCUACUUUUUCGUGGGGGAUAACGUAGGGAAACUUACGCUAAUACCGCAUACGACCUACGGGUGAAAGCAGGGGAUCUUCGGACCUUGCGCGAUUGAAUGAGCCGAUGUUGGAUUAGCUAGUUGGCGGGGUAAAGGCCCACCAAGGCGACGAUCCGUAGCUGGUCUGAGAGGAUGAUCAGCCACACUGGAACUGAGACACGGUCCAGACUCCUACGGGAGGCAGCAGUGGGGAAUAUUGGACAAUGGGCGCAAGCCUGAUCCAGCCAUACCGCGUGGGUGAAGAAGGCCUUCGGGUUGUAAAGCCCUUUUGUUGGGAAAGAAAAGCAGCAGGUUAAUACCCCGCUGUUCUGACGGUACCCAAAGAAUAAGCACCGGCUAACUUCGUG